CAAUAAAGACUUAGUCCCGGUCUUCUUAUUAACUACCACUUAACCUAUACAUGCAAGCAUCCACGAACCAGUGAGAACACCCUACAAAUCUAAUAGAUAAAUGGAGCCGACAUCAGGCACAUCAACCACAUAGCCCACGACGUCUAGCCCAGCCACACCCCCAAGGGCCACAGCAGUAACCAACUUUAAACCAUAAGCGAAAGCUCGAUUUAGUCAGAGUAAAACAGGGGCGGUCAACCUUCGUGCCAGCAACCGCGGCUUAACAAAGGCCCCAAGUUAACAAACCAACGGCGUAAAUUGUGACUAGGAUCUUAUCCUAUACAAUUAAGGUGGAUAUAGCCUCGUAGCAGUGAUAAGCUUUACAGUGCCACAAACAUCAACAUAAAAAUGACCUUAAUCACCAAGACAUAUCCUACCUCACGAAAGUUGAGAAACAAACUGGGAUCAGAUACCCCACUAUGCUCAGCCCUUAACAAAGGCUGUGCCCCAAACAUAUCACGCCCGCCAGAGAAUUACGAGCCACGCUUAAAACUCAAAGGACUUGACGGCGCUUCGAACCCACCUAGAGGAGCCUGUCCUAUAAUCGACGGUACACGAUUCACCCGACCACCUCUAGCCCCUCAGCCUGUAUACCGCCGUCGCCAAGCCCGUCCCCCUGAGGGAGACAAAACGAGCACAAUAGCCUCCCAGGCUAGCACGUCAGGUCAAGGUGCAGCCAAUGAGGUGGAAGAGAUGAGCUACAUUUUCUAACACAUAGAAAUAUGCAACGGAGAGCCCUGUGAAACCAGGGCUGUCAAAGCAGGAUCUAGCAGUAAACUAGGAAAAGAGAGCCUAAUUGAAGUAGGCCACGAAGUGCGUACACACCGCCCGUCACCCUCUUCAAGCCCGAUAGUAGUACACGCGCCCCGGCAACGAGUACAACAUAGGAUGAGAUGAGGUAAGGUCGUAACAAGGUAAGCGUACCGGAAGGUGCGCUUUGGAACAU